rnacentral:snoRNA from 1 species
GGGGUGUGCUCAGAGCAAGGGGCCUGAAGAAUGGCUCCUCUGUUUACAACACACCCAAUAGGAAUCUGAGGUCAUUGUGAGAAGGGGCACAGAAUUUGUGGCCUCCCUAUGAACAGAUGCCCUACACAU